rnacentral:rRNA from 1 species
CGGAGAUAGUGGCGAACGGGUGAGUAACACGUGGGAACAUGCCCUUUGGGUACGGAACAACAGCUGGAAACGGCUGCUAAUACCGUAUGAUGACUUCGGUCCAAAGAUUUAUCGCCCAAGGAUUGGCCCGCGUUGGAUUAGAUAGUUGGUGGGGUAACGGCCUACCAAGUCUGCGAUCCAUAGCUGGUCUUAGAGGAUGAUCAGCCACACUGGGACUGAGACACGGCCCAGACUCCUACGGGAGGCAGCAGUGGGGAAUCUUAGACAAUGGGCGCAAGCCUGAUCUAGCCAUGCCGCGUGAUCGAUGACGGCCUUAGGGUUGUAAAGAUCUUUCGCCGGGGACGAUAAUGACGGUACCCGGAGAAGAAGCUCCGGCUAACUUCGUGCCAGCAGCCGCGGUAAUACGAAGGGAGCUAGCGUUGUUCGGAAUUACUGGGCGUAAAGCGCGCGUAGGCGGACUGGAAAGUUGGGGGUGAAAUCCCAGGGCUCAACCCUGGAACUGCCUCCAAAACUCCUGGUCUGGAGUUCGAGAGAGGUGAGUGGAAUUCCGAGUGUAGAGGUGAAAUUCGUAGAUAUUCGGAGGAACACCAGUGGCGAAGGCGGCUCACUGGCUCGAUACUGACGCUGAGGUGCGAAAGCGUGGGGAGCAA